rnacentral:rRNA from 1 species
ACCGGCAGCUCAAGUGGUGGCCAUUUUUAUUGGGCCUAAAGCGUUCGUAGCCGGCUUGAUAAGUCUCUGGUGAAAUCCCACAGCUUAACUGUGGGAAUUGCUGGAGAUACUAUCAGGCUUGAGGCCGGGAGAGGCUGGAGGUACUCCCAGGUUAGGGGUGAAAUCCUAUAAUCAUGGGAGGACCAAAUGUGGCAAAGGCGUCCAGCUGGAAGGGACCUGAAGGUGAGUAACGAAAGGCCGGGGCGCGAACCG